GGUUGGGGAACAGUGGCUGGUUCUGUGCAUUGGACAGCAUGUUGUGACAGAUACUAAGAGCCACCUUCAGUUAUUUCUUGUGUGCACCGUCCCUUCUUCCUGGGUUCGCCGGCCUGUGCAAAGUUGGGCUCGUACGUAUUAGUGCUAACAAACGAGCUAGGCGUUAGCAUGCUAGCUUGAAUCCUAUUCUUGACCCGUGAUCUUUGAUAGCAAGUCAGCUAUCAGUUAGCUUAUCCAUCUCGAAGAUCCGCCAG